UACGUAGGGUGCGAGCGUUAAUCGGAAUUACUGGGCGUAAAGGGCUCGUAGGCGGCCAACUAAGUCGGAUGUGAAAUCCCCAGGCUUAACCUGGGAAUUGCAUCCGAUACUGGAUGGCUUGAAUCCGGGAGAGGGAUGCGGAAUUCCGGGUGUAGUGGUGAAAUGCGUAGAUAUCCGGAGGAACACCUGUGGCGAAGGCGAAUCCCUGGAAAAUACCUGACACUGAGGCACGAAAGCUAGGGGAGCAAACAGG
rnacentral:rRNA from 1 species